rnacentral:rRNA from 1 species
CGCACCUUUCGGGGUGAGUGGCAGACGGGUGAGUAACGCGUGGGAACGUGCCCUUCAGUUCGGAAUAACCCAGGGAAACUUGGGCUAAUACCGGAUACGUGCGAGAGCAGAAAGAUUUAUCGCUGAAGGAUCGGCCCGCGUCUGAUUAGCUAGUUGGUAGGGUAAUGGCCUACCAAGGCGACGAUCAGUAGCUGGUCUGAGAGGAUGAUCAGCCACAUUGGGACUGAGACACGGCCCAAACUCCUACGGGAGGCAGCAGUGGGGAAUAUUGGACAAUGGGCGCAAGCCUGAUCCAGCCAUGCCGCGUGAGUGAUGAAGGCCUUAGGGUUGUAAAGCUCUUUCGGCGGGGACGAUAAUGACGGUACCCGCAGAAGAAGCCCCGGCUAACUUCGUGCCAGCAGCCGCGGUAAUACGAAGGGGGCUAGCGUUGUUCGGAAUCACUGGGCGUAAAGGGCGCGUAGGCGGCCAAUCAAGUCGGGGGUGAAAGCCUGUGGCUCAACCACAGAAUUGCCUUCGAUACUGUUUGGCUCGAGACCGGAAGAGGUAAGUGGAACUGCGAGUGUAGAGGUGAAAUUCGUAGAUAUUCGCAAGAACACCAGUGGCGAAGGCGGCUUACUGGUCCGGUUCUGACGCUGAGGCGCGAAAGCGUGGGGAGCAAACAGGAUUAGAUACCCUGGUAGUCCACGCCGUAAACGAUGAAUGCCAGCCGUUGGGCAGCUUGCUGCUCAGUGGCGCAGCUAACGCUUUAAGCAUUCCGCCUGGGGAGUACGGUCGCAAGAUU